AGAGUUUGAUCCUGACUCAGAACGAACGCUGGCGGCGUGCCUAACACAUGCAAGUCCAACGUGAAAGGGGAGCAAUCCCCCGGUAGGGUGGCAAACGGGUGAGUAAUACAUGGGUGAUCUACCUUAGGGAUGGGGAUAUCCUUCCGAAAGGAGGGGCAAUACCGAAUAUUGUCCGGGACCGUGAAGGGUUUCGGGGAAAGGGAGGCCUCUGACACAAGCUUUCGCCUUAAGAUGAGCCCAUGGCCCAUCAGCUAGUUGGUAGGGUAAAGGCCUACCAAGGCUACGACGGGUCGCUGGUCUGAGAGGACGACCAGCCACACUGGCACUGAGAUACGGGCCAGACUCCUACGGGAGGCAGCAGUGAGGAAUAUUGCGCAAUGGGGGAAACCCUGACGCAGCAACGCCGCGUGUGGGAAGAAGGCCUUCGGGUCGUAAACCACUUUUACUCGGGACGAAAAAGGGAUAUCAAACAAAUAUCCCCGAUGACGGUACCGUGAGAAUAAGCCACGGCUAACUCUGUGCCAGCAGCCGCGGUAAGACAGAGGUGGCAAGCGUUGUUCGGAAUUACUGGGCGUAAAGAGUCUGUAGGUGGUUUGUCAAGUCUUUGGUGAAAGGCCGUAGCUUAACUAUGGGAAUGCCAAAGAGACUGGCAGGCUGGAGGCUGGGAGAGGGAAGCGGAAUUUCUGGUGUAGCGGUGAAAUGC
rnacentral:rRNA from 1 species